rnacentral:rRNA from 1 species
GUAGGAUAGAAAUAAAUUAUAUUAGUUAAAAGUUAAAAAGGAAGUUAAGAGGCUGACUGAUUUUAUAGGUAAAAUUUGUUAAAUUGGUUGUUUCUUAGGGUAGAGGAUUGAAGCUUUGAAAGUUAGAGUUGAGACUAGGAUUAGAUACCCUAUUAUUUUAAUUGUAAAGAGAAUAAAACUUGAGUAGUAUUAGUUAAGUGCUUGAAACUCAAAGAAUUUGGCGGUGUCUUAGUCUUUUCAGAGGAAUCUGUCCUAUAAUCGAUAUUACACGUUAAAUGUUACUUAGUUUAGUUAAUCAAUUUGUAUACCGCCGUCAUAAGAUCAUCUUUUUAGAGGAGGAAUUUUCUAGAUAUUAUAAGAUAAGAUGUCAGGUCAAGGUGCAGUUUAUAAUUAAGCAGGAGAUGGAUUACAAUAAAUUUAUUUAAAUGGAUUUCUGACUGAAAGGUGGGGAUGAAGGUGGAUUUGAAGGUAAUUUUGUUAAAUUAUGAUGAAAUGAUUAAAGCUCUAGGACAUGUACACAUCGCCCGUCGCUCUCAUUAAUAAGAUGAGAUAAGUCGUAACAUAGUAGUCGUACUGGAAAGUGUGGCUAGAAAGUCAA